GACUCCAUGUCCUAAUGGAUAAGGUGCUCGUCUACGAAACCAGAGAUUUUAGGUUCAAUCCCUAGUGGAGUCG
rfam:Ipomoea nil DNA, scaffold: scaffold0268, cultivar: Tokyo-kokei standard.